ACGGGAGGCAGCAGUAGGGAAUAUUGCACAAUGGGGGAAACCCUGAUGCAGCAACGCCACGUGUGGGAAGAAGCAUUUCGGUGUGUAAACCACUGUCGUGAAGGAAUAAUGCUGGACCUCGGUCCAGUUGAAUGUACUUUGAAAGGAAGCACCGGCUAAUUACGUGCCAGCAGCCGCGGUAACACGUAAGGUGCGAGCGUUGUUCGGAAUCAUUGGGCGUAAAGGGCAUGUAGGCGGUCUGUCAAGCCAGGCGUGAAAGCCAGGGGCUCAACCCCUGAACUGCGCUUGGAACUGGCGGACUGGAGUCGCUGAGGGGGAACCGGAAUUCCUGGUGUAGGGGUGAAAUCUGUAGAUAUCAGGAAGAACACCGAUGGCGAAGGCAGGUUUCCAGCAGACGACUGACGCUGAGGUGCGAAGGUGCGGGGAGCAAACAGGAUUAGAUACCCUGGUA
rnacentral:rRNA from 1 species